rnacentral:rRNA from 1 species
GACGAGCCACACGAACGUUAUUCGGAAUUACUGGGCUUAAAGGGUGCGUAGGCUGCGCGGAAAGUUGGGUGUGAAAUCCCUCAGCUUAACUGGGGAACUGCGUGUGAUACUGGAUGGCUUGGAUUUGGGAGAGGGAUGCGGAAUUCCAGGUGUAGCGGUGAAAUGCGUAGAUAUCUGGAGGAACACCGGUGGCGAAGGCGGCAUCCUGGACCAAUAUUGACGCUGAGGAGCGAAAGCCAGGGGAGCAAACGGG